rnacentral:rRNA from 1 species
GGUCCGCCUGCCCAGUGACACAUAGUUCAACGGCCGCGGUAUUUUGACCGUGCAAAGGUAGCGUAAUCACUUGUCUUUUAAAUGAAGACCUGUAUGAAUGGCAUAACGAGGGCUUAACUGUCUCCUUCCCCCGGUCAAUGAAAUUGAUCUCCCCGUGCAGAAGCGGGGAUUAAACCAUGAGACGAGAAGACCCUAUGGAGCUUUAGACACACAGGUGGCCCAUGUCAAGCACCCCCUAUUAAGGGCCUGAACUAAAUGGUACCUGCCUUGAUGUCUUCGGUUGGGGCGACCAUGGGGAAUACAAAACCCCCUCGUGGAAAGGGAACACACCCCUAAGUUAUUCUUCUCCCGCAAGCCAGAGCAACAACUCUAACCAGCAGAAAUUCUGACCAAACUGAUCCGGUAAAACCGAUCAACGAACCAAGUUACCNUAGGGAUAACAGCGCAAUCCCCUUUUAGAGCCCAUAUCGACAAGGGGGUUUACGACCUCGAUGUUGGAUCAGGACAUCCUAAUGGUGCAGCCGCUAUUAAGGUUCGUUUGUUCAACGA